CCUACGGGGGGCUGCAGUGGGGAAUAUUGGACAAUGGGGGCAACCCUGAUCCAGCCAUGCCGCGUGUGUGAAGAAGGCCCUCGGGUUGUAAAGCACUUUCAGUGAGGAAGAACGCCUGGUGGUUAAUACCCAUCAGGAAAGACAUCACUCACAGAAGAAGCACCGGCUAACUCCGUGCCAGCAGCCGCGGUAAUACGGAGGGUGCGAGCGUUAAUCGGAAUUACUGGGCGUAAAGCGCGCGUAGGUGGCUUGAUAAGGCGGUUGUGAAAGCCCCGGGCUCAACCUGGGAACGGCAUCCGGACUGGUCAAGUUGGGGUGCAGGGGGGAAGGUGAGAAUGCCCGGGGGGGGGGGGAAAUCGGUGGGGUUCGGAGGAAUACCAGUGGCGAAGGCGGCCUUCUGGACUGACACUGACGCUGAGGUGCGAAAGCGUGGGUAGCAAACAGGAUUAGAUACCCCAGUAGUC
rnacentral:rRNA from 1 species